rnacentral:ncRNA from 1 species
GGCUUAUGGUGGAUACCUAGGCACCCAGAGACGAGGAAGGGCGUAGAAAGCGACGAAAUGCUUCGGGGAGUUGAAAAUAAGCAUAGAUCCGAGGAUUCCCGAAUAGGUCAACCUUUCGAACUGCUGCUGAAUUCACGGGCAGGCAAGAGACGACCUGGCGAACUGAAACAUCUUAGUAGCUAGAGGAAAAGAAAGCAAAAGCGAUUCCCGUAGUAGCGGCGAGCGAAAUGGGAACAGCCUAAACCGUGAAAACGGGGUUGUGGGAGAGCAAUACAAGCGCCGUGCUGCUAGGCGAAGCAAUCGAAUCUUGCACCCUAGAUGGUGAAAGUCCAGUAGCCGAAAGCAUCACUAGCUUAUGCUCUAACCCGAGUAGCAUGGGGCACGUGGAAUCCCGUGGGAAUCAGCAAGGACCACCUUGCAAGGCUAAAUACUCCUGGGUGACCGAUAGUGAAGUAGUACCGUGAGGGAAAGGUGAAAAGAACCCCCAUCCGGGAGUGAAAUAGAACAUGAAACCGUAAGCU